rfam:Clostridium sp. N3C genome assembly, contig: N3C_contig89
CGGUCCUAAGGUAGCGAAAUUCCUUGUCGGGUAAGUUCCGACCCGCACGAAUGGCGUAAUGAUUUGGGCACUGUCUCAACUGCAAAUCCGGCGAAAUUGUAGUGCAAGUGAAGAUGCUUGCUACCCGCGAUUGGACGGAAAGACCCCGUAGAGCUUUACUGUAGCUUAGCAUUGAGUUUCG